UACGGGGGGAGCAAGCGUUGUUCGGAUUUACUGGGCGUAAAGGGCGCGUAGGCGGUCAGCACAAGUCAGUUGUGAAAUCUCCGAGCUUAACUCGGAAAGGUCAACUGAAACUGUGCGACUAGAGUGCAGAAGGGGCAACUGGAAUUCUUGGUGUAGCGGUGAAAUGCGUAGAUAUCAAGAGGAACACCUGCGGCGAAGGCGGGUUGCUGGGCUGACACUGACGCUGAAGCGCGAAAGCCAAGGGAGCGAACGGG
rnacentral:rRNA from 1 species